UACGUAGGGUGCAAGCGUUGUCCGGAAUUAUUGGGCGUAAAGAGCUCGUAGGCGGUCUGUCGCGUCGGAUGUGAAAAUCCAGGGCUCAACCCUGGACCUGCAUUCGAUACGGGCAGACUAGAGUUCGGUAGGGGAGACUGGAAUUCCUGGUGUAGCGGUGAAAUGCGCAGAUAUCAGGAGGAACACCGGUGGCGAAGGCGGGUCUCUGGGCCGAAACUGACGCUGAGGCGCGAAAGCUAGGGGAGCAAACAGG
rnacentral:rRNA from 1 species